UACGUAGGGUGCGAGCGUUGUCCGGAAUUAUCGGGCGUAAAGAGCUUGUAGGCGGUUUGUCGCGUCUGCUGUGAAAUCUCAAGGCUCAACCUUGAGCUUGCAGUGGGUACGGGCAGACUAGAGUGUGGUAGGGGAGACUGGAAUUCCUGGUGUAGCGGUGAAAUGCGCAGAUAUCAGGAAGAACACCAAUGGCGAAAGCAGCUCUCUGGGACGGUACUGACGCUGAGACGCGAAAGCGUGGGGAGCGAACAGG
rnacentral:rRNA from 1 species